rnacentral:rRNA from 1 species
GGGCUCACACAAGCGGUGGAGCAUGUGGCUUAAUUCGAGGCAACGCGAAGAACCUUAUCCUGGGUUUGACAUGUACGGAUGGCUCGCCUGAAAGGGAUGAGUCUGCCUUCGGGUGAAACGUACACAGGUGCUGCAUGGCUGUCGUCAGCUCGUGUCGUGAGAUGUAGGGUUAAGUCCUUAAACGAGCGCAACCCUUGUCCUUAGUUGCCAGCGGGUCAUGCCGGGGACUCUAGGAGACCGCCGGUGUUAAACCGGAGAAGGUGGGGACGACGUCAAGUCAUCAUGGCCUUUAUGCCCCAGGGGCUGCACACGUGCUACAAUGGCCGGUACAGAAAGCAGCCACUAUGCGAAUAGGAGCU